rnacentral:rRNA from 1 species
UACGAGGGGUGCAAACGUUGCUCGGAAUUAUUGGGCGUAAAGCGCACGUAGGCGGUAUUGCAAGUCGGAAGUGAAAUCCCUCGGCUUAACCAAGGAAGUGCAUCCGAAACUGCCGUACUUGAGUACUUAAGAGGAUCGCGGAAUUCCCGGUGUAGAGGUGAAAUUCGUAGAUAUCGGGAGGAACACCAGUGGCGAAGGCGGCGAUCUGGGAAGAUACUGACGCUGAGGUGCGAAAGCGUGGGGAGCAAACAGG